GUUGAUGUGUGAUGCUGAUAAUACAGAGACGGCUAGAGUGACAGAGUUUGAUGAAUAAACUUAAAUUAAAAAACAGAAAUAACCACCAUCUCUCUCAGAGGUCAUCUUUCUCAUUAUUGUGGGGAAACCUCAAAGGGCAUCAGGAAAACCUUCAUCAACCUCUUUGUGCCCAGUGGCUUGUGCAACAGUGUUUCAGAAAUUAUCAUUAAAAUGGGGAUAAUGGAUGACUGGCCACACAUAUGGGGCUAUGGAAAAGCUUCAGAGCAGGCUGCCAGGUGGUGGUGUUAGUAGUUUAUACUCCGG